ACACGCAUGACACACUGCAUAUCAAUAAGCGGAGGAAAAGAAACUAACUAGGAUUCCCUCAGUAACGGCGAGUGAAGCGGGAAGAGCUCAAAUUUAGAAAUCUUCAAGGUUUUACCUUGACGAAUUGUAGUUUAAAGAAGUGUUCUCUGUUGGAGUUUUGGUAAAAGUUCUUUGGAAUAGGACAUCAUAGAGGGUGAGAAUCCCGUAUUUGACCAUUAUUUCCAACUUUGUGAUACACUUUCAAAGAGUCGGAUUGUUUGGGAAUGCAGUCCAAAAUGGGUGGUAAAUUUCAUCUAAGGCUAAAUACUGGCGAGAGACCGAUAGCGAACAAGUACCGUGAGGGAAAGAUGAAAAGAACUUUGAAAAGAGAGUUAAACAGUACGUGAAAUUGUCAAAAGGGAAGCGUUUGACACCAGUGUUGUUUUCUCGAAAAUCAAUUAAAAAUGGCGGGAUUUUGUGUUGUAUUGACUUUAUCAGCUUUCUGCACUUUUUUCCUGUCUUUUUUAAUGCACUUUUCGUUUAACAAGUCAACAUCAAUUUCUUCUGUUGUAAAAGGGUCAUUGGAAGGUGGCUUUCUUUUCGGAGAAAGUGUUUAUAGCCCUUGGCCUCUGCAAUCGGAGAGAUUGAGGUCUGCAGCGUAGAUCCUUCGGGGUUAGAUGCAUUUGUGCUAAGCUAUAGCCUUUCAUAGACAACUUGUUGACUAUGAUCAGUCAUGUAGCUUACUCGCUUAUGUCAUUUUACCUACGCUUAGGAUGUUGAGCGCAUGUCUCUCUCU
rnacentral:rRNA from 1 species